rnacentral:rRNA from 1 species
CCUACGAGCGGCAGCAGUGGGGAAUAUUGCACAAUGGGGGAAACCCUGAUGCAGCGACGCAGCGUGAGUGAAGAAGUAAUUCGUUACGUAAAGCUCUAUCAGCAGGGAAGAAAAUGACGGUACCUGAGUAAGACGCCCCGGCUAACUACGUGCCAGCAGCCGCGGUAAUACGUAGGGUGCAAGCGUUAUCCGGAUUUACUGGGUGUAAAGGGAGCGUAGACGGUGCGCCAAGUAUGUAGUGAAAUGCCGCAGCUUAACUGCGGAACUGCUUUGGGAACAGGCGAACUAGAGUGCGGGAGGGGUAAGCGGAAUGCAUAGUGUAGCGGUGAAAUGCGUAGAUAUGAGGAGGAACACCGGUGGCGAAGGCAGCUUACUGGACCGUAACUGACGUUGAGGCUCGAAAGCGUGGGGAGCAAACAGGAUUAGAUACCCGAGUAGUC